AUGCAGUGUUUCUGGAGGGAACUUCACAAAGGAUAUGGUCACCAAGAAAGAAAAAACCAGUCCCCCCACACCAUUUGCAUUCAAUAUACCCUUUUGAGUUGCAAGAUGAACACACGAUUGGUCUUGGUUGCUGUAAGCAUCAUAAAGAUAGGAGAAAUCAAGGACCAGCAGAAAAAUAUCAAAAUGCAUCUAAUUUUACAGCUAAAUUACUCUGUUAAGCACUCAAUUAAGAGACAAGUUUUAAAAUUUGAUAAUAUGACAUCAUUCAUUUGA